UUGCUUUGGCAGCACAUAUACUUAGAUUGGAACAACACAGAGAAGAUUAGCAUGGCCUCUUCCCAGAACUAUUUUUUAUUAACUUUUUUAUAUAAUGUUUUU